rnacentral:tRNA from 1 species
GCCUCCGUAGCUCAGCGAAUAGAGCGGCGGCCUUCUAAUCCGCGGGUCGCAGGUUUGAAUCCUGCCGGGGGCA